rnacentral:tRNA from 1 species
UGACGGCGGUGACGAGCCGGCGGGGAUCGUCGUCGAGCUCGACGACGAGCGUCUUGAAGGCGCGGCCCGGUUCGACGCCGAGCGCCCUCGCCC